AAAAAGUCAAACCCUAGGUUUUCGUGUCCAACUUUGACUGUCCGUCUUAUAUGAAAUUUUUUUAUAAUUUGUAUUUUCAUUAUUGUUAGAUGAUAAAACAUGAUUAAUAUUUUAUGCGUGACUUGUCUUUUUAAUUUUUUUAUAAUUUUUUAAAUAAGACAGACGGUCAAACGUUGAACACGAAAUUCAAAGUUUGUCUUUUA
rfam:Oryza glumipatula chromosome 1, whole genome shotgun sequence.